GCCUCCGUAGCUUAGGUGGUAGAGCUCCUUCGUGUUAUGUUUGUUUUAUCAGGUUUUCUGAAGGAGACGUGGGUUCGAGUCCCGCCGGAGGCA